AUGAUGCCCCUGAGGAUAAAGUGCAUUGGGCAUGGCUUCUUAGGAACAGAGCAGAGGAGCAAGGCAUGCCUAUUGCCAAGGUGGCAUCACAAACUAGUGAAAGCGAUAACAAACUGGAUGUUGGAGGUGACAAGAGAAGGGAAAUGAGAAAUUAAUGAUUAAGAGAAAGAAGUGGAAGUGAAGGAGGAGGGAGUAGAAGGAGGU
rnacentral:lncRNA from 1 species